rnacentral:lncRNA from 1 species
AUGGAUGCCUCCCGAUCUGCCGACUCAACUGCCCACCACCCUCACUACUGCUCUUAUCCCAAGCGUGACAAAUUCUGGCGGAGCACAGUCUUCAGCAGGUCAAGCUGCUUCUCCAUUCUGAAUCCCAGGAUACCCUCCAGCUCCAGGAUCAGUCAGCCAAACCCACAGCUGUGCUGAUGACCUAGCCCCUCGACCUCAGACCCACCCCAACCCAGGCCUCAGGAAGGGUGAAGAUUUACUGAUCUCUCUAACUGCAUUAACAGGCUCAUUGUGCAAGAGCAAAUUAACCAGUUCAUUCAGGCCUACUGGACUUAUUUUGCAUCUCAUUUGACCAAAUAUUUCAGGUAAGAAUGGGUUCAGUAGAGGGGUGAAGCACUCAGAUGAAUGAGAAUCAAGUUCAUUUUUAGGGUUGAUUUUUUUUUUUUGAAUAAUUGUGACACUUGUUAAGCACUUACUAUAUGCCAGACACUGAUAAGCAUUGGGCUGGAUACAAGCCAUCCACUUGGACGCAGUCCCUGUCCCACAUGGGGUUCACAGUCUUAGUCCCCAUUUUACAGAUGAGAUAACUGAGGCCCAGAGAAGUUAAGUGACUUGCCCAAGGUCACACAGCAGGCAAGUGGUAGAGCUGGAAUUAGUAUCCAGGUCCUUCUGACUCCAAGCCCGUGCUCUAUCUACUAGGCCACACUUCUUCCUAUUUAGUAACUUACUUAUAACACUGCUUCAUAAUCCAUUUUUUUAAAAAAGACCACAUCAUUCCAUAGCAAAGCUUCUUUGGGCUGGAAGGAAGGACUUGUCUGACUUGAUUUUCCUAUACCUACCUCAGCACUUAGUACAGUGCUUGGCCCAUAGUAAACUCCAAACAAAUUCCACAGCUAUUAUUAUUACGAGAAGGAAAGCUCAAAACACAGAAUCCACGGAGGGAUACCCCUUUCAUUAAAGUGAAUGUUUAGUUCACAUCAGCUAGGAUAGCUGAAACCUCUGAACCUGAUUUUUUUAAUGGCAUUUGUUAAAUGCUUGUGUAACAUUCCAGACACUGUGCUAAGCACUGGGGUAGAUAUAAAAUAAUCAGGUUGAACUACAGUUCCUGUCCCAUAUAAGGCUCACGAUCUUCAUCCCCAUUUUAAAGAUGAGAUAACUGAGGCACAGAGAGGUCAAGUGACUUGUCCAAGGUCACGCAGCAGACAAGUGAUAGAGUCGAUAUUAGAACGCAGGUCCUACGAGUCUCAGGCCCGUGCUCUUUUCACUAGGCCCCGCUGCUGUUCUUUAUCAGCCUCUUCUCUUUGAGCAUCAAAUAUGAUGCCUGAGCAGAGCUGCCCAGCUCAUGGGGGUGUUGGGGACAGUAGCAGCUACCAAGGCUUGGUCAGUGACUCCCGGCCCUGCUCGCCCCAGGUCUCGGACAAAACCUAAGCGUUUCCAGGGAAGGCUAAAAAGACCCAACAGUCGCUUUCUGGCCCAGUCACCCUCUGAAACUGUCCCCUCGUAUUAAAACCAUCAUCUCUAAAAUCCCUACCCCUUUGUUGCCCUCCCCCCACUUACUUGCCAAUAUGUCGCUAAGGAGAAAAAGAGGCAUAAAGGCACAUAUGUCAUGAAGACAGAGAAGAAUCUGUGUUUGAGAGCAACAUUGCUGAUUGUCUGAUUUCAGCCAUAUGUCUGACUCUGACCAAAGUUAUGGUCUUUUCCACUCUUAAAGACUGUCAAAAGACUGGGGUUCUAAUUGAUACCCCACAACUCACCUGCUGUGUGGUGACUUUGAGCAAGUGACUUAACUUCUCUCUGCCUUGGCUUUCUCAUCAUUAAAAAUUAAAAAACGAAGCUAAGUUACCCAUUCUCUCUCCCCUUUGGACUGUGAGCCCCAUGUGAGACAGGUACUGUGUCUGUUACCUCAUCAGUAAAAUGGGGACUCAUUCAUUCAUUUAUUCAGUCAUAUUUAGUAAGCACUUUCUGUUUGCAGAGCACUGUACUAAGCACUUGGGAAAGUAAAUAGAGAAGCAGCUUGGUUUAGUGGAAAGAGCACAGGCUUGGGAGUCAGCAGACGUGGGUUCUAAUCUCAAGUCCACUGCUUGUCUGCUGUGUGGCCUUGGGCAAAUCCCUUAAUUUCUCUGUACCUCAGUUACCUCGUCUGUAAAAAUGGGGAUGAAGACUAUGAGGCUUCUGUGGGACAAACUGAUUACCUUGUUAUCCGCCCCAGCGCUUAGAAUAGUGUUUGGCACAUAGCAAGCGCUUAACAAAUACCUUUUUUUUAUAUAUAUAAUACAACAAUAAACAGUGACAUUCCCUGCUUACAGGGAGCUCUCAGUCUAGAUUGGGGCUUCCCACUCCCACUGUGAGCCCCAUGUGCAGCAUGGACUGUAUCCGAGUUGGAUUUAUUCCAGCGCUUAGUACAGUGCCUGGCACAUAGUAUGCGCUUAACCAAUACCAAAAUAAUGAUUAGAAAGAAAUAAAACCAAUACCACGAUUAUUACAGUGGUUAUUCUAGGGCUCUGUCUGUGGGAACGGCCUCUCCCACGGGAUUUCUGGUUCUGAAAGCCUUUGUCCACAGGAGGGCAGCAGAGACAGGGGGAUGGACCGACCUGCCGAGACCCAGGUUGGGGAUUAAUUCAUUCAAUCAUUCAUUCAGUCGUAUUUAUUGAGCGCUUACUGUGUGCAGAGCACUGUGCUAAGCGCUUGGAGAGAACAAUUCAGCCACAAAGAGAGACAAUCCCUACCCAACAACGGGCUCCCAGGCUAGAAGGGGGGAGACGGACAACUAAACAAAACAAGUAGACAGGCAUCGAUACCAUCAAAAUAGAUAAAUAGAAUCAUAGAUAUAUACAUAUCAUUAAUAAAAUAGAGUAAUAAAUAAUAUGUACAAAUACACACAAGUGCUGUGGAGGGGGAAGGGGGUAGAGCAGAGGGAGGGAGUCGUGGCGAUGGGGAGGGGAGGAGGAGCAGAGGAAGAGGGGGGCUCAGUCUGGGAAGGCCUCCUGGAGGAGGUGAGCUUUCAGUAGGGCUUAGAAGGGGGAAACCUGUGCUAGUUUGGCGGAUGUGAAGAGGGAGGGCAUUCCAGGCAGCAGCAGUAGUAACACUGACUGGUGAUCCUCGAGGGAGGACGGCCUGCUUCCCCUUCCAGCCUCUUCACUCCCUGGCGAAAAGGAAAGUUCGCCUAAGGCCUGGGGGCUCUUGGAAAGUCCCUUCUCUUCCCCACUGCCAGCUGAAUUUGCUUCCAUCUCAGUGAGUGACCAUGGACUUCAGUCAGUCAAUCAUCGGUACUUACUGAGCACUUACUAUGUGCGGAGCACUGUACUAAUUAAUCAAUCAUCAAUCAAUUAAUCAUGUUUAUUUAGCGAUCACUAUGCGAAGAACACUGUACUUCGCCGUCAAAGGGCAGGGACUGUAUCUGUUACCGAUUUGUACAUUCCAAGGGCUUAGUACAGUGCUCCACACAUAGUAAGCGCUCAAUAAAUACUAUUGAAUGAAUGAGUGUACUAAAAGCUUAGGAAAUAACAGUAGUAUUAGUAGAUUAGUAGCCCAGGAAUCUGGGCCAGCAUGUACCUUUAGGUUACAAUCACAGAGAUAAUCAGUGAUCAGUGCUGAAGACAAAUGGAUACUCUGGACUGUCAGUUCGUUGUGGGCAGGGAACAUAUCUAUCAACUCUGUCAUAUUGUACUCUUCCAAGUGCUUAGUACAGUGCUCUGUACACAGUAAGUGCUCAAUAAAUAUGAUUGGUUGAUAUGGCCCUUCCCUGGCCAAGGGUGUCAGCCUCUUGAGGGCAGGUAUCAUGUCUACUGAUAUUUUUACAAUUAUAAUAAUAAUUGUGAUAUUUGUUAAGAGCUUACUAUGUGCUAAACACUGAACCAAGCACUGGGGUAGCUACAAAACCAUCAGGUUCCAGAUGGGGCAAAACAGUCUAAGUAGGAAGGAGAACAGAUACUGAACCCUCCUUUUGCAGAUGAAUGAAUUGAGGCACAGAGAAGAUAAGUGACUUGCCCAAGAUCACCCAGCAGGUAAGUGGCAGAGUGGGAAUAGAAGCCAGGUCCUCUGACUCCCAUGCCUGGACUCUUUCCACUAGGUCACACUACAGGGAGUACAUUACUCCAUUCAUUCAUUCAUUCAUUCAUUCGUUCGUUCGUUCGUUCGUUCAAUCGUACUUAUUGAGCACUUACUGUGUGCAGAGCACUGUACUAAGCAUCUGGAAAGUACAAUACAGCAACAGAUAGAGACAAUCCCUACCCAACAACAGUCUCACAGUCUAGAAGCGGGGAGACAGACAACAAAACAAAACAAGUAGACAGGCAUCAAUACCAUCAAAAUAGAUAAAUAGAAUCAUAGAUAUAUACACAUCAUUAAUAAAAUAGAGUAAUAAAUAAUAUAUACAAAUACACACAAAUGCUGUGGAGAUGGGAAGGGGGUAGAGCAGAGGGAGGGAGCAGGGGCAGUGCGGGGCGGGGGUGAGCAGAGGAAAAAGGGGGGCUCGGUCUGGGAAGGCCUCCUGGAGGAGGUGAGCUCUCAGUAGGGCUUUGAAGGGGGAAGAGAGCUAGUUUGGCGGAGGUGAGGAGGGAGGGCAUUCCAGGUCAGAGGUAGGCGGUGGGCCAGGGGUCGAUGGCGGGAUAGGCAUGAACGGGGGACAGUGAGGAGGUGAGCGGCAGAGGAGCGGAGUGAGAGGCAGAGGAGCGGAGUGUGGGGGCUGGACUGUAGAAGGAGAGAAGGGAGGUGAGGUAGGAGGGGCAAGGUGAUGGAGUAAUCCAUGUAAUCUACCAAGCACUUAGUACAGUGCUCUGCACACAGUGGGCACUCAGUAAACUCGUAGAGAAGCAGCAUGACGUAGUGGAUAGACCACAGGCCUCGGAGUCAGAAGGUCACGGCUUCUAAGCCCGACUGUGCCACUUGUCUGCUAUGUGACCUCAGGCGAGUCACUUCACUACUCUGGGCCUCAGUUCCCUCAGCUGUAAAAUGGGGAUGAAAACUGUGAGCCCCACUUGGGGCAACCUGAUGACCUUGUAUCUAUCCCAGUGCUUAGAACAGUGCUUGUCACAUAGCAAGCACUUAAAUACCAUAAUAUAAUAAUAAAUAAUAAUAAACACCAAUGAUUGAUAAGAUGAGACAACA